rnacentral:rRNA from 1 species
AUACGGAGGAUCCGAGCGUUAUCCGGAUUUAUUGGGUUUAAAGGGAGCGUAGGCGGGAGAUCAAGUCAGCUGUGAAAUGUAUGCGCUCAACGUGUGCACUGCAGUUGAAACUGGUUUUCUUGAGUGCGGAAGGGGCACGCGGAAUUCGUCGUGUAGCGGUGAAAUGCUUAGAUAUGACGAAGAACUCCGAUCGCGAAGGAAGUUGGCCGGGCCGCAACUGACGCUGAAGCUCGAAGGUGCGGGUAUCGAACAGGAUUAGAUACCCUGGUAGUCCGCACAGUAAACGAUGGAUACUCGCUGUCGGCGAUAUACGGUCGGUGGCCAAGCGAAAGCGUUAAGUAUCCCACCUGGGGAGUACGCCGGCAACGGUGAAACUCAAAGGAAUUGGCGGGG